rnacentral:rRNA from 1 species
UACGGGGGGAGCAAGCGUUGUUCGGAUUUACUGGGCGUAAAGGGCGCGUAGGCGGCCAGCACAAGUCAGUUGUGAAAUCUCCGAGCUUAACUCGGAACGGUCAACUGAUACUGUGCGGCUAGAGUGCAGAAGGGGCAACUGGAAUUCUUGGUGUAGCGGUGAAAUGCGUAGAUAUCAAGAGGAACACCUGCGGCGAAGGCGGGUUGCUGGGCUGACACUGACGCUGAGGCGCGAAGGCCAGGGGAGCAAACGGG